rnacentral:rRNA from 1 species
AUUGAACGCUGGCGGCAGGCCUAACACAUGCAAGUCGAACGAGUGGCGGACGGGUGAGUAAUGUCUGGGAAACUGCCUGAUGGAGGGGGAUAACUACUGGAAACGGUAGCUAAUACCGCAUACCAUCAGAUGUGCCCAGAUGGGAUUAGCUAGUUGGUGGGGUGACGGGUCACCAAGGCUACGAUCCCUAGCUGGUCUGCGAGGAUGACCAGCCGCACUGUAACUGAGAGACGGUCCAGACUCCUACGAGAGGCAGGGGUGGGGAAUAUUGCACAAUGGGAGCAAGCCUGAUGCAGCCAUGCCGCGUGUAUGAAGAAGUCCUUCGGGUUGUAGAGUACUUUCAGCGGGGAGGGGUUAGCCGCAGAAGAAGCACCGGCUAACUCCGUGCCAGCAGCCGCGGUAAUUC